AAACAGUGUCAAAUUCAUUCAGUUUUUAAAGAUUGAAGUUCUCUACAGGGUACCAUAGUCUCUCAGUAGUGGUAUGUUUUCCUAAGGAUUUAUAAAA
rnacentral:snoRNA from 1 species